rnacentral:rRNA from 2 species
CCUACGGGCGGCAGCAGUGGGGAAUAUUGCACAAUGGGCGAAAGCCUGAUGCAGCAACGCCGCGUGAGCGAUGAAGGCCUUCGGGUCGUAAAGCUCUGUCCUUGGGGAAGAAAAAAAUGACGGUACCCUUGGAGGAAGCCCCGGCUAACUACGUGCCAGCAGCCGCGGUAAUACGUAGGGGGCGAGCGUUAUCCGGAAUUAUUGGGCGUAAAGAGUGCGUAGGUGGUUACCUAAGCGCAGGGUUUAAGGCAAUGGCUCAACCAUUGUAUGCCUUGCGAACUGGGCUACUUGAGUGCAGGAGAGGAAAGCGGAAUUCCUAGUGUAGCGGUGAAAUGCGUAGAUAUUAGGAGGAACACCAGUGGCGAAGGCGGCUUUCUGGACUGUAACUGACACUGAGGCACGAAAGCGUGGGGAGCAAACAGGAUUAGAUACCCGUGUAGUC